rnacentral:rRNA from 1 species
UGGGGAAUAUUGGACAAUGGGGGCAACCCUGAUCCAGCAAUGCCACGUGUGUGAAGAAGGCCUGAGGGUUGUAAAGCACUUUUGUUGGGGAAGAAGGUAGCUAGGUUAAGAGCUAGGCUAUUUGACAUUACCCAAAGAAAAAGCACCGGCUAACUCUGUGCCAGCAGCCGCGGUAAUACAGAGGGUGCGAGCGUUAAUCGGACUUACUGGGCGUAAAGGGCGCGUAGGUGGAUAUUUAAGUCAGAUGUGAAAUCCCAGGGCUCAACCUUGGAAUGGCAUUUGAUACUGGAUAUCUAGAGUAUAGUAGAGGGAAGGGGAAUUUCCGGUGUAGCGGUGAAAUGCGUAGAUAUCGGAAGGAACAUCAGUGGCGAAGGCGCCUUCCUGGACUGAUACUGACACU